CCCGCCCCCCUCCAAACAAAAACCACUCGCCCGUCAAUACCUGCACCCGCCGGCUCCGUUUCCAAACCACCCCCGCGGCUCAAGCUCCGCUACCUCGGCAUACACCUCAACAGCCGGCCGCCCGCUAGCCGAUGACUGUUCUUCACAAGUGAACCCGAACAAUGAACAUUGUCAGACUGCUCAGCCAGAAGAGAAUAUGGAUCUGAAAAUAAGACACAAUGGAUCAGGCAGCAUCUGUGGAGAAGAUGGAACAUGGACAUUCGGGUCAGGAUCCUUCUGAUUUUGAAAUAUUUCUCUGAGAAUGAUAUUCCAAUCAUUUAAGAUCAUCCCCAUGGAGAUAUCCUGUAAACUACCACAUUUUUUGGAUGGAUGGCUAUAAUCUCAACAGGCACUCACUUGGCCAUUUUGAACGCAUUAAACUUGGAGCAAGCAGAAAGGACAGACAAUCUUUGUUGGAGUGAGUUGAACAUUUAUGCAGAAACAAUUCUAUUGGUUCUGUGCCCUGGCUUGUGAUUAAAAUUAUUCAUCAGCUACUUUACUGCGUUAAAAAAGAUUAACAUUUACGUAUAAGGACCAAAAGUAAUAGAUCCUACCAAAAUGAAAUAAAAAUUUUCGCCUGUUUUAAUGAAAUACAUUUUACUGUUGCAAUUAAUUAUUCCAAUGGCAAUCACGCUGUCAUGAAAUUGUUGCUCUCCAUCUCUCAUUUGCUCCUCAGAUAUGCCUCGCAAUAAUCUAUCAAAAUAGCUGUCGACUCGUACAGCUUUUAGAGUAAAUUUUAUGCACUUAAAAUUAAGUUUAUGUAUUCGAGUUUCAUUUGGAGCAAUAAAAUUUCAAUCAAACCUGCAGUGCUUUGUGGAGAAAAAACGCAGCGCAUCUGUGAAUCCAACCAGCUGAGGAAAUAUCUGUGUUCAAUAUAGCUUUGGAAAAAAAUUACCAUGUUGGACUAAUUACCACAAUAUUGCUAAGUUACACCAUUUGCAUGACUAUGAUAAUAGACCUUCUUUAUGAGUGGCUAUAUUCAAGAUAUAGGAUUCGUGAUUCAUAAAUCAGAUGCUGUGGUAUAAUUAGACUCCAGUGAUUAUGCUCAGCAUUGUACAUGACAUCUGCAGGAUCUAAGUCCUAUCACCUCCUCAGGAUGUCUAAACCCGCUAUUUAACCAUUAUUGUGCUUUUGUAAUGCAGGCAAUUCAGUUGAGGAGCAAAACUUCACAUUCCGACUGGGUAGUUUGCAACACAACGGAAUUUCCCAAUUAUAGGUAACUACAUGACCCUCCCCACUCCCUUCCUCCAUAUACCUCUCCCUUCUCCACCCAUAUACCACUCCCUUCCCCUAUGAGUUCUUCACAAAGAAUAGAACAAACCAAAAACAGAAACUCUUGACAGUGUGUCAUUUUA